GGGGAUGCGGAAAAACAGCAGAGUUUUGGACUGGGAAAACUGAAAUCGAGGCGGAAAAAGACCCACAUCAUGCGGCUGCUGUUCCCCUACGCUUUCUCUCCCUUUCCCGCUUUUCCAGCCAUGCCCGUCUGCCCGCCCGCACUUUUCUCAACCCAAAUGUACAUUCUUGUUGCGGCUUGACAAGUAAACAAGCGAAUCCAUCAAUCAACCGCACGUAGAAGGCACACAAAAGUGACAAUGUGGGUGGCCCCCGUUCCUUGGGGGUCCUCGAACAGGAUUCCGAUCCCAAAAAAAAAAAAGAAGGCGAAAAGAGGCGAAUUCGAUAUGCACGAGUCGUACGAAAUGAAUUUUCAGACAUCACAAAACGACCACUGCAAAGGAAAGAACUCGAAUCCUUUUGCCGCGAUGUACACACGCACACACUUUUGAGUGAAUAAAAACCAAAGGAAGUGUAUUGCAAGUGGGCUUCUUUAAUGUGCGAUUAACGUGAAAUGGAGCCAGUAAUCUGAGUUACCUGUCAACACCACGAAAGGAACUCAAACAGGAGCUGGGAGGUGGGAGGUGGGAGAAAGGACUAUCUCGCUCCUUGCGAAAAUCAACACAAUGUGGCCAGAAAGUCGAAAAGGUGUCCGAGGAAAAAGAAAACACAGGACUCAACACACAAAAGAGGGCUCGGCAGGAGGAAGCAAAGAACAUAACCGAAGGACCCAAAGACAAAAGGCGGCAAUAAACCUACUGAGUUCCACAAAGGUGUAGCUGAAAAAAGCAUAUUUUGCUGUUUUCAGCCAUCUGAGCGAAAGGGUUAGGCAUCCAUAAAGCGGGAAAAUAAGACAAAAAGCCAGAUAAAUUAUUAUUUAAGACGACGGAACUGCAAAAUACUCUGUAUUUCUAAAGAGAAUCAUCCCACAAUGAAUAAGAUCUGGCAUGGGUAAAAUGGAAAAUUUCUAGAUAAGCGCACAUCAAUAUUUCAACUUUGUUCUUAAAUUAUAAAUUGUGCAGUACCACUAAAUACGUUCGGUUUUUUUAAACGCAA